rnacentral:rRNA from 1 species
GAUUAUGGCUCAGAUUGAACGCUGGCGGCGUGCUUAACACAUGCAAGUCGCGCGUGAAAGGGCUUCGGCCCAAGUAAGCGGCGCACGGGUGAGUAACGCGUGGAUGAUCUACCCAUGAGUUGGGAAUAACGGCUGGAAACGGUCGCUAAUACCGAAUACGCUCCGAUUUCAACUUCGGGGGAAAGGUGGCCUCUGCUUGCAAGCUACUGCUCAUGGAUGAGUCCGCGUCCCAUUAGCUAGUUGGUGGGGUAACGGCCCACCAAGGCGACGAUGGGUAGCCGGUCUGAGAGGAUGACCGGCCACACUGGGACUGGAACACGGCCCAGACUCCUACGGGAGGCAGCAGUGGGGAAUAUUGCGCAAUGGGCGAAAGCCUGACGCAGCGACGCCGCGUGAAGGGAUGAAGGUCCUCGGAUCGUAAACCUCUGUCAGGAGGGAAGAACCGCCACGGUGCUAAUCAGCCGUGGUCUGACGGUACCUCCAAAGGAAGCACCGGCUAACUCCGUGCCAGCAGCCGC